CCUGGAGAACUCCAUUGACAGAGGAGCCUGGCUGCAGUCCAAGGGGUUGCAAAGAGUCGGAAAUGACUGAGUGACUAACUCUGCACUUGUUCACAUGCGUGCCUGUGUGUUCAGUCACUUCAGUUGUGUCUGACUCUUUGUGACCCUGUGGACUCUCGCCUGCCAGGCUGCUCUGUCCAUGAGAUUCUCUAGGCAAGGAUACUAGAGUGGGUUGCCAUGUGCUCCUCCAGGGGAUCUUUCCAACCCAGGGAUCAAACCUGAGUCUCCUGCAUUGCAAGCGGAUUCUCACCCGCUGAGCCAUCUAGGUAGCCCCAGCAGUUGCUCACAGCUGCAGUCAAAGAUACUGUCUUAUCUGUAGUAACUUGUUCAAUUCAGUGCUGGUCAUUUGAUUUGAUGUGAAAUGGAAAAGAUGAUUUGAAGGCGGUCAAAUGAUCGUUUUGGACAGAGAACAUGUUAACUGAUGAUUGAGAAUUUUUUUUUUCUUUUUUGUUUGAGAUUUUCAUAUUGAUUUAAUGUGGAAAUAUUUUCAAGAAAGUUAAAGGACAUUUUAGGUAUCUGUUAUGCAUAAAGCUUAGUGCUAGAUGGUAGAGGAUGAAUCUGAAUAAAUAAGAAUGGCUAUUUCCUGGUUUUUAGGGGUUCACAAUCCAAUACAGGAUGAAAAGUAUUGGGAAAAACAAAACAAGCCCCAGGGACUUCCCUGUGGUUAAGAAUCUGCCCGUCAAUGAAGAGGACACGGUUUUGAUCCUGUGUUCUGCAACAAGAGAAGCCACCUCAAUCAGCCAGCUCACUGCAGCUGGAGAGUAGCCCCCACUUGCUGCAACUAGGGGAAGCUUGUGCAGAGCAGCAAAGGCCUAGCACAGCUGAAAAUAAGUAAGUAAAUACAAUUUAAAAAGUUUUAAAAAGUGCAGGUUAAGAAGCUAUUAAAAAAAGAAGAGAGAAUUCACCUUGCAAAUGAGUGGGAUGCAGGUUGGAUCCCUGGUUGCGGAACUAAGAUCCCACUUGAGCAGCUAAGCCUGUGCGUCACGUCUGCUAAGCCCAUGUGCUCCGGAGCCUGAGUGCCACAACUAGAGAACCUGAUGCCACAACCACUGAGUGUGUGCCCCAGAGAGAGGCUGUGUACUGCAGUGAAAGAUCCUGCAUGAUGAGAGGAAGAGCACUUGUGCUAUAGCUAAGACCCAACACAGACAAACACAUAAAUAACAAAACCCAAAAAACCCCACAAAACCCCAUAAUAGAAAAAGAAAGAAGCCCCAAAGUGCUGUGGGCUUUGGGGAAGAAAGUGUUUUCACUAGAGAGUGAGCUGCUUGGGCAAGGAGUAGUGAGGGGUAGGUGAAGAUCAGUUAAUACUCUGUACUGUGACUUUUAGUAAGAGGGUCUGUGUGUGUAUGUGUGUGUGUGGUUUCUGUGUUUAAGCUAGGGUGUCAUCAAAGGUCUGCAGGUUUUGUGUUUCAGAGAUUUAACAGUUGUGUGAAAUUGACUAGGAGGAGAAGACUGUCGUGGGAAACAAAUUUCUAACCCCUCAGGGACGGAAGAGGUGGUGUUGAGGGUGAAGAAUCACCAGGUCUUGAUCCCUGGAUGUGGUUAAGAUGAAAGGAGAGAGUAAAUGGUUUAAGCUCUUAGGUCUUUGAAAUGAUGAAUGUUUCUACUCUGCAAAUCACUCCCCCAGAAUCCAAAAUCAAAGAAUCAGACGUUGGGUGUCCACAGCCUGAACCUAUGAAGUUCUUUUGCGUCGUUGUAGUUUUUUUUAGCUGUGACGUGAAGUAAUUUUUGGAUAGAUCUGUCCACAUGAAUAUGGUUUUUUCAAAAGUAAACUUUCAUCCUGGAAUAUUUUUAGUUUAUAGAAUUGCAAAGAUAGUAUAGCAAGUCCUUGAGUGUGCCUCACUGGGUUUCUCCUGUUGCCACGUCUUUUAUUACCGUGAUUCAUCCGUGAGAACUAAGGCACCAACUCUGGUGCAUCGCUGUUAACCCUCCACCUAAUUUCUCACAAAUGCGCCUUCUGUUCCAGGAGCAACCAGGACGUCAGACUUUGUAUGUUUCUCGUUCUUUCCUUGCGCCCCUGACUUUGAUUGCUUCAGGCCUGUUGGUCAACUGUUUUGUAGAAUGUCGCUCAGUUGGAUUUGUCUGGUGUUUUUCUCGUGACUGGAGUGUGGAUGUGAAGUUAUGGGAGGAAGACCGUGCUGUUUGAUCAUAUGAUAUCGAGGAUACAUCCUGUCCACAUGACCUAUCACAGUUGGUGCUGACUUGAUUACCUGGCUGGGCUGGUGCCUCCCAGGUUUCUUUGCUGUUAACCACCCCACCCCAAUGGAGGAGAUAUCUUUGUAAAUAAUUUGGAAUUCUUCUCUAACGAACAUUACCUCUUCUCCCUUAUUUAUAUUUCUUUCUCUUUUUUUUUUUUUUACAGGUUUCUAUCUUGCCUUUGUUCACUUGACAUUAGAAUAUGAAUAUUUUUUCAUCUUUAUGCAUUUUAUUUUCCUCAUUUAUAUUCAGUCAGUUAUUUAUGCCAGUAUGGAUUCAGGGAUAUUUGUUUUAUUCUUGGGUUAUAAUUUAAUAGCACAUUAUUUUAUUGCUCGACAUUGAGGUGCCCGUGCUCAUUUGCCAUGUCCCUGUCUUUUUUUCCUCUCGAGCACUUUCUUACAUUCUGGUACUUCUGAAUGCUCCAGGGUCAUCUUGUGUUUCCCGACCUGUCUUAGAAUCACCUGUUUCUUUGAGGAUCCCUGGUUCCUUUUAUUGGAUUAACUAAGAUCUGGGUGCUGGAUUUGCUUCUUGCUCCUGGCUAUUUCCUCUUCUGGGCUUCCUAGGUGGCUCAGUGGGUAAAGAAUCCACCUGCAAUGAACGAGACACAGAUGAGGUGGGUUCGAUCCCUCAGUUGGGAAGAUCCCCUGGAGGAGGGCAUGGCAGCCCACUCCAGUAUUCUUGCCUUGAGAAUCCCCAUGGACAGAGGAGCCUGGUGGGCUGCCGUCCGUGGGAUCACGAAGUGUCGGAUACGACUGAGGUGACUGAGCACAUUUCCUCUUGCAGGACGGAGCUUAGGAAGUAAACACAUAGGUGUGCAUCCUGACACACAUAGGUAUAGUUUUGUGUUGUGUCAAGAGAUUUUUGUUUAUGUUUUUGUUUAUGAAGCUUAAAAUUUUGAAAUUAAAGUUAUGUUUCUCAUGCAAAAUGGUGUCUCUCUGGGUGCAGUUUUGAGUGUCUGUAAAUCAUGGUGCAUUUAAAGUGAAAGAAAGUGUAGUCGCUCAGUCGUGUCCAACUCUUUGUGACCCCAUGGAUUGUAGCCUGCCAGUCUCCUCUGUCCCUGGGAUUCUCCAGGCAAGAAUACUGGAGUGGAUUGCCAUUCCCUUCUUAGGGGAUCUUCCCAACCCAGGGUUUGAACCGUAGUCUCCUGCACUGCAGGCAGAUUCUUUACCAUCUGAGCCACCAGGGAAGCAUUUGGCAUCAAUCUUAAAGUAGACAUCCACCAUGGUGGCUCUAAUUACUUAGAAGCUAAUUAAAGGUAGUGAGUCGCAUUUCUUCUUUCAGCUGAACUCGCAGUGUUUUCUAAAGUGAGAACUUUGAAUAUGACUGUGGGAGUGCCUAGAUUUUCUCUGGCACACGUAGCAUUUUCUUUCCUGCCCUUGCAUUUUUUAAAAAAAACUUGUUGAUGUUGGAUCUUUGCUUUUUUUUUUUUUAAAAUGUCCAUUCUUUGAAACUUAUUUAUGUAAUUCUUGUAAGCUGUUCAAGGAAGGGUACUGUGCAAAUUUGUAGUGGAUGUUUUAAAUGAGACUUCAAAUUAGUUAACUUUUCAUCGGAAGGAAGCACACAGGUCUCAGUGAUUGGCAUGGUGAACAGUAGGUGCUCAGUAUGUGCAUGUGUUUUAACUUUUAAACAUGUCUCUGCCUCUCAGUCCAUAAUAAUAUAGCCAGUAAGGAUCUUUGUCUUGGUUGGCUGGCUAGGUAAUGAGUCUGUGUUCAGUAAGUUGAUUAACUUCCUUAGGCUUUAGUUUCCAUAUAGAGUAAGGAGUUGGAUAGAUUCUAGUAUUUUAUUUUUAAUAAUUCUUCUGCUUUAAAAAUAUUAUUAUUAUUAUUUUUUGGUUGCACCAGGUCUUGGUUGCAGCAUACAAGCUCUUCAAUCUUCAUUGUAGCAUUUCCAUAUCUUCAGUUGCAUGUGGGAUCUGGUUCUCUGACCGGAUUUCAGACUUGGGUCUGCUCCAUUGGGAGCGCAGAGUCGUAGCCACUUGACCACCAGGAAAGUCCCAGAUUCUAGUAAUUUAUGACUCUGUAGCCAUAAACACAUGAUGGUAUGAUUGUUAGCAAAUGAUAGUUCAUCUGGAGGCCCAGAGGAGCGUUUGUCCCGGAAGAGUUAGAAUUCUGAGAGAAGCCAGUGGGAUUAGUCCCCUGGUGCAAGGGCAACAGUGGGAUUUGGAAAGCAUAGCAGUAGAGGUCCGUUCUCUCUCUGCAUCAUUCUGAGUGCUCCUUACGGCUGUAUUGCCUGACUGAUACCCUCUUAUCUGCACUCCCAUCUUUUGAAAUCCUUUCACUCACAGAGUUGUCUUUGUGCUUUGGAGAAUGCACAUGCCUAGUAUCCUUGAACUCAGAUUACAAUCAUGUUCUUAUGUAAUCGCUCAUUCUACUUAUAUUACCUUUGUUUGUUUGUUUGUUUCUUUUUUUGUUUCUAAUUCAAAUUGCCUCAGAAAUUGGUGAUAGCAUGUGGCGUUUAAGAAAGAUCUAGUGAUUGACGUUUGGCCAUGUUAAUGUAAACUUUCUGGAGAUGUAUAGGGGGCUGAGAUAGUGACUAGAGAUUUUAGAAUUUAGAUAUUCUGGUUUAACCAUUUGAAAAAGAAAUGCUUUUGGAAUCAGAGACCCAGAGGGAAUUGAAGACUUGCUCAUGAUCUCAGAUUUGAUUCCAGAUUCAGUCAGAUUCCUUUCUGUGUCACCACACUGAUUUAUGAGAAUCCUGCCUUAGACCAAGAGGGUGGAGACAGAUGUUUUGUUUUGAUAGUAGUAUAUGAGGAUAACCCAUGUGCCAUAGUUACAAUUCUCUUUGCCUAGGAAGCCAACCACUUGUAUAACCUAUUAUAAAUAUAUGGCUUUUCAGUAGCCUACAUAUUAAUUUGAAGCAAUAAUUUUUAGGAAUAAAACACUCAGCAGUACUAAAGGAAUUGAUAUUUGGAAUUCAGAUGUCCUGUAAUUUCCGUAACACAACCACAGAAAUUAACACAGGAAAACAUUUAGCUGGUGUGGCUACAGUGAUUUUUAAUUUGGAAAUAGAGGGCAAUCUUAAACUAUAGUGGAGACAGUGAGAUUUUUAAGUUUUCCAAAAGUGUAGAUGAGUAGGAAAAAGUUGAGAAACUUGGCAAUUAAAGCCAGUAUGGAAUUCAAGCUGAGCAGUUUUAAUUUUCCAUUUUGAUUGACAGUGAGCCUCUUGCACAUUUUUUAUUUCCGCUUCCUUGUUUUGACAAGAUCUAAGAGGAUUAGAAAAUUAAAUGUUGAGGUAUUUUUUCUCCCCUUUGGCUUUUUUCUUCCCUUUCCCUUUGGCAAAGAUAGGAAUAUAAUUCUAUCUUGAGAAGAAAAAUAUUUAAUGAAAAAAAGAUAAUGGACUUCUCCAUGAGAUAUUUCCAGGUAGCGGAACACAGGUGAUGUUAUCUGUUUCUCUAGUAGGGCUAUAACUGGGCAUUAUUUUAUUGUUCCCCAGCUAAGUUGACUCUCUCUUUAGAACAAGUGAAGCUCCUGGAAUUAGUGUGAGCAAUAUUGCCGAAGAUGUUGCAGUUCUCCAGUGUGUCUUUUGAUUCCUUCUCAAGGAGUAAAAGCGUAUCUUCUGUGUCUUGGCACGCCUGUGCCAUUCUAUUGGUAAAGGCAUCCUUAUGCUUCAAGGUGGAUUCAUUUUUAAAAGUAGGAGCAAGAUGAUUAAUUGAUCUUGAAAAACAAUAGAUAUUUGUCACGUAUCUUAUUGUAAAGCGUAGAUGAGCUAAAUAGUUACUUUGGAAAUGGUCACUUUCUAACUUCCUUGCUCUGAAACCGUUGAAAAAGAUUGACUUAAUUAAAACAGACAUUCACAUUUUCCAGGCAAUCAAAAAUUUAUAUUAUAAAGUUGACUUCUUUUUUAUUUAUAAUUUCCCCUUUGCAGUUCUACUCAACUCUUUCCGAGAUUCUAGCCUAAAAUGAAGUUAACACUCAAAUUCAGUUACUGGAUUCAGUGGUGUCACACUUAACCUGCUGAGAAUUUCUGUCUUCUAAAGAAUCUGCCUGCAAUGAGGGAGACGUGGGUUUGAAAGAUCCCCUGGAGGAGGGAAAGGCUACCCACCCCAGUAUUCUGGCCUGGAGAAUUCCAUGGACUGUGUAAGUCCAUGGGGUUGCAAAGAGUUGGACAUGACUAAGCGACUUUAACUCAUUUCACAAAGCACUGUAUAAAUGCAAAAGUAGGCAGAGUAAUUGUGCUUGCUCUUAGGUUAUCACUGCUUUGUAUGAAGUUAGUGGAGUGUAGUCCAGCUGAAAUGCUGUGUUAAUUGUAAAUACAAAUUAUAAUUAUUAAUAGUAAAUAAAGGGCAGGUAGACACAAGCAGGGCUUCCCUGGUUGCUCAGUGGUAAAGAAUCCACCUGUGGGUUUGAUCCCUGGGUUGGGAAGAUUGCCUGGAGGAGGACGUGGCAACCCACUCCAGUGUUCUUGCCUGGAGAAUCCCACAGACAGAGGAGCCUGGUGGGCUCCAGUCCAUGGGGUCUCAGAGUCGGACAUGACUGAAACGACUGAGCACGCAUGCACAAACACAAGCAGAAGACAUCCUGAGCGUGGAAUUUAGGCUUGUAUAGACUUAAAAAGGACAACAGGAAAUCCUUGCGCAACCAGACGGGGUGGGUAGAUGGCUUCAGGAGGCAAUUCCAUUUAAUGUUCUGGGGAAGGAAUAUUUGUAAACCUAAUUAGAAGCAUGAGAUCUGUCUUUACCACCCAAGAUUCUGAAUUAGUGAAACUUGGGAGAAAGGACUAAAAUCUAUUCUGCGCGUUUUGAGCUGGAGACAUUUAGCACAAUGGUUAAGGAUGCUAGAUUUGUCUCAUUUACAAGCUGUGUGGUCUUGAGCAAAUUAUCUAAUCUGCCUGAACUUUCUUAUUUAUAUAAUAGGGGAGAAUGAAGGAGCCUGCCUCCUAACAGUCUUUUGAAGACUGAACUGUUUCUUUUCAAACAGGUGGCUUUUGAUACUAUUGAAUGUAAUGAUUGAGUUUGGAUGACUGUUACAUUUUAGCUUGGGAGGAGUUGGGUAGAGUAGAGGAGAGAUUAUAAACAUAAUUAAAAUUAAUGGAAUACAUCUUUGAUUGAUUAAAAGAGCAUAGUUAGAAUAGCUUAGAAUAGUGUCUAGUACAAAAUAAAGUUUUCCAGGUCGUGCAAUGGUAAAGAAUUUGCCUACCAGUGCAGGAGACUCAAGAAACACAGGGUCGAUCCCCUGGGUUAGAAAGAUCCCUUGGAGCAGCAAAUGGCAACCUGCUCCAGUAAUCUUGCCUGGAAAAUUCCAUGGACAGAGUAGCCUGGCGGGUUACAGUCCAGGGGGUUGCAAAGAGUCAGUCAUGACUGAGCACAUAUAUACACACACACACAUAUACACAGAGUGCUCAAAUAUGUUGUUAUAAUUAACAAUACACCUAUUUAAAAAAAAAAUUAUUUGGCUGUAUCAGGUCUUAGUUGCGCCAAGUGGAAUUUUGCUGCUUCCUACGGGAGCUUUCCUUGUGGUGCACAGACUCUCUAGCUGUGUCACAGAGGCUCUGGAGAGCACAGACUUGAGUAGUUGUACACACGGGUUUAGUUGCUCCAAGGCAUGUGAGAUCUUAGUUCCCUAAACAGGGAUUGAACCCACAUCCCCUGCAUUGUAAGGUGGAUUCUUAACCACCGGACCACCAGGCAAAUCCUGGUAUACCUAUUUCUUACUUAAUUAUAAUGGUAAAAUCAUUAUUAUUCCUUUUCAUAAAGGAGAAGUUUGAUAACUUGCUUCUUUGUAGGAAAGCCAAGAUUGAAAUCCAGGCUUUCAAAUUCCCAAGGCAGGCUACUGUUCCAUGCUUUCCUAUGCUGUGUAUCUAUUUUCCUAAAGGACUAACAAAUUCUUAUAUACAUUUAUUCCAAAAAUUUAGUGGGAGCUCACUGUAACCAUUAAGAUAAGAUGUCUUAUGCUAACUUUUUCUGUUUAACUUUUAUGGCAUCUUUGGUCAUUUUUGUUGGUAUAUUAUAGCUAUAAAACUGACUCACCAUAAACAAAAACCAUGAUUUUUAUACCCUAUCUGGAAAAAGAAUGAAAAUUCCCUCCUCCAAAUGCGAUCCAGCAGCAUAAGAUUCUCGAGGACAGCAGGGAUUAGGUGCUUUUGACAAGGAAGAAGUCGCACGUAAGAAGCCAGUGAUCCAUCAAGUGUUUCCUCUUUUCUGUUUUUCCCAAACUCAUGUGAUUACCAGAAUUCCUUGACUGGGGGAGCAUAUUCUGCUUGUAAAAAAUACAGAUUCCUAGGCCUCCAUGGUCAGUGAUUGAGUCCAUCUGGAGAGGGGCUCAGGCAUGUGUGUUAUUUAAGAAGCUUUCCCACUUGGCACGUAGCUUGGUUCACUGGCUGUCCGCUGUGUCUCGCCCAUCAGAAUUCUUGUGUUGUCCAUUCAAGGUGAGGGAAAGACAUCAUCACAAGGGACUGGAUGGUCUGUAAAUGCCUCAAGCUCUGCAGACUCCACUGAGGUUAGGGCAGUAGCUCUGCCUUUGUUGUGAGGACCCCCCCCGCCCCCCAUGACAGUUGUUGUUGAGCCUGAAGGUUGUCAGGAUGUUACAGCAAGAAAAAUGCUAGCCUGGAGGGUGUUCCAGUGCAGGGUGGUGCCCGAGCACCUGGGAGAGAGAGGGCAUUCAUGUUUCCAGCUGUGACUGCUGAUACUCUAUUGCUGAAUUAUGUGUUCAUUGUAUUCUUCACUUUCCAGUUUGGAAAUCGUAAGCCCGUGACCCUUUAAAGUGGUUUCUAGGGUUUCAGAGUCAUGCCUUUGACUUGACUGUACCUGUUAGCCAAGAUGAAUGAAUGGCUUUUUGGAAGAACAGGUUUUACAAGGUUACCAGUUUUGUCGCAUUGGUACUUUCUCAUAGUUCUAACAGUUUUGCUCCUUUUGAAAAACUUAACAGAAGAUAACAAUUCUGCAACUGGAACUCUUCAUUAGUAGUCUGGGGGUAAUUUUAGUUGACGGCGUGAACAAUGGUGGUCUGAUUGUGUAGCAGCGUCCUAGCCCAGAUGGAAGCAGCUGCAUCCUUUUUCUUAAUUUAGGAGGAAUGAAUCCCAUUGUUCUCAGAUCUCCAGGUGGAUGCUCAUGGGAAAAUGUGAGACAAGGAUAACACAGGUAUUAUUGAUCUCCCUGUAGUCCAACUUAUUAUUGUAAAUCUGCAAGGAAGGAGAAUCCCUUUUAACUCUAGAACCUAAGUAUGAAAUGUGGCUUUGAACUCAUAAUAAUUAUACACUUACAUUAUUUUUAGUUUAACAAGAUUUUUUCAUGAAUAAACUGUCAACAUUAUGUUAAUAUUCUAGUUGGGCCGACUUUGAAGAGUCUUUUUUUGUGUAUCAGGUAAACCGUAUGUAAAUGACAUGUCUGUCUAUCAUUUUAAAAUGUUAUAUAUUUUAUGACAUGUACCUCUUACUGACUGAUUUUUCCUUGUUAUUCCCCAUCAAUUACUGAUGGUCAUGUAUCUAUGUGAAAUGUUUGCAGUGGCUUAUAUUUAGGCAAGUUUAAUCCUGUUUCAAACUGAAUGAAGAACAUACCUUUUAUCCUUAUUUUACAGAUGAGGAAAGUUGAGGAAUUUUCUAAGGUCACAUGGCUAGUAAUGGUAGAACCAAGCUUCAAACCCAUCUCUUCCUGAUGUUUGAAAGCCCUGCUCAGAACAGAGGGAUAUCCCUGUAGUGCUGGCGCUGUGGCUGGAAGGCAUUUGUUGCAUUUAUUCCAACAGCACACACAUGAAGAAAGUCCACUUCAGGUGACUGCAGUGCAGGCCAUAGAGCUUAGACCAGUGUGACUGAGUGAAGUGAAAGUCACUCAGUUGUGUCCGACUCUUUGCGACCCAUGGACUGUAUGGUCCAUGGAAUUCUCCAGGCCAGAAUACUGGAGUGGGUAGUCUUCCCCUUCACCAGGGGAUCUUCCCAACCCAGGGAUCACAGAGGCAGGUGCAUAUCCUUAAUAUGUAUGCAGUUUACCUGUUUCUGUAUGUUAGAAGCUGUGUGGGUGAACAUGUGCUAUUUUGUGCUUUAAAGCAGUGCCUUCAGAAGGAAGCCGACUUGGUUUAGUGGGAACAUAGGCUCUCUCUAUAUAAUCCUGUAAAUCAUCUUUUUCUCUUUCACAGUGAAACUUUUUAAGUACAAGACAGGAAUUCAUAUUCAAGUUGAUUUUACUUAUCCAUGUUGACCUUUAAUAGGCGAAAAUAGUGCAACAGUUUCUUCUAUAGUUUGUCCUAUGUUAUAUUUUUGGUGUUACUUAGUUUCUGAGUCUGACUCUUUUGCAACCACAUGGUCUGUACCUCGCCAGCCUCCUCUGUCCAUGGAAUUUCCCAGGUCAGAAUACUGGAGUGGGUUGCCAUUUCCUUCUCCAAAGGAUCUUCUCGACCCAGGGAUCAAACCCAGGUCUCCUGCAUUGGCAGGAUUGAACCCAGGUCUCCUGCGUUGGCAGGCAGAUCCCUUACCACUGGGGCACCAAUGGAGCCCAUGCUGUGUUUUCCCUCUUCUGCUAAUUCCUUGUGAUCACAUAUUUAGGGCUAGUUGGAAAGUAAAGUUCUUCAAAGCUAUAGGUUUUGAAUACAUAAAUGCUUUUUUCUUUUCUUGAAGAUAAUAUGUAAAUUAUAUGGGGUGGAGGAAGGACAGGAAAAAAGGGUAAUCACUUGAGGACAUUCUUUUAUGUACAUGGUUUAAAAAAUCUUGGGUGUAAACUUAAAAAUGUAUUGUUGUGUGGCACUUUAAACAUUUUGAGAUAGAUUUUUUUCAAUUAUUUUCAGGAAUUGACUACUUACUACAAAUUAAAGAUUCCAUUAGUAAAACAGAAUUUUGCAAUGAAUUUCUUCUGUGAUUUUGGAUUCAGAAAACAAGUGGUUAGAAGAGAUCUUCACUGUUUUUGAAGACUUAUAAAACUGUAGUAAAAUCCAUGCUGCUCCCUGCCCCCGCCAACCCUGAUAACACCCUGCUGGUCCUUCAUAUAAUGAGAGGUAAUCUUGGAGAUGUUGUCUUAUUGUGAAAUGUAAACACUGACUGUUUAAUAAGCACUUUAUCUUGAUGGUGGAUUCGUCGUAGUUACUGAUGGAUGCUCACUUUAUUUUUUGAGGGUAAAAUUGGUGUUUAUAUUGAUAGAAUAAUGCAAAAAAGAAAAAUUGCAGAAGUUCAGUAAAAAUGCAAAAGAGCAUUCAAAAUACAUCCUUGUUUUUUUACAAUUCAUUUUUUAUCUUUAAAUUUUUUUCGGCUUUAUUGAGCUAUAAUUGACGUAUGAAAUUGUAAGAUAUUUAAUGAACACUGUGGUGAUUUAAUAUACAUACACAUUGUGAAAGGAGUCCCCCCGUGAAGUCAGUUGUCACAUCUAUCAUCUAAUCGAUUCAUUUUUUAUUGGUUUUUAGAAUAUUUAAGUUCUACUCUCAACAUUUCAGUUAUGCAGGACAGCUGGCCCUCUAUGUCUGUGGGUUCCAAGAAUGAGGAUAGAAAAUAUUCAGAAAAAAGAUUACAGAAAGGUCUAAAGAGCACAACUUGAGUUUGCCUAGUAGUGGCAACUAUUUACAUAGCAUUUAUCUUGUGUAAGGUAUUAAAAUAAUCUUGAGAUGACUUAGUCUUAGACUAUAUGCAAAUACAGUUGCCUCUUGAAAGUUGAGGAGUUUAGGGGUGCCUACCCUCCACGAGUUUAAAAUCCACAGUGACUUUACAGCUGGUGUUUUCCAGGUGGUAAAGAACCCGCCUGCCAAUGCAGGUUAGACGUAAGAGACACUGGUUUGAUCCCUGGGUUGGGAAUGUCCCUGGAGAAGGGAGUGGCAGUCCACUCCAGUCUUCUCGCCUGGAGAAUCGCAUGGACAGAGGAGCCUGGAGGGCUACAGUCCACAGGGUCACACAGAGUCAGACACGACUGAAGUGACUUAGCACACAGCACCCGUAUCUGUGGCUCCGCUUCUUUGGGUUUAACCAGCCCCAGAGCCUGUGGUCCUGCAGAAUGAGCUUAGUGAAAGAUCCAAGUAUGAGUGAACCCACACGGCUGAAACCCACGUUGUUAAGGGUCACCUGUGCCUCCCCAUUGCCUGUAAGGAAAGGGCCUGAGCAUCUGUAGAUUUGGUGCCUGCAGGGGUUCCGGACACCCUCUCACCCCGACAGGAUACUGAGCACAACUGUGUGGUCAACCAUAGUCACCACGUUAUAUGCUGGAUCUCAUACCUCAUUUAUCGUAUAACUGGAAGUUUGAACCUUGGCCAUCCUCUCCCUGUUUCCCCCGUAGCCAUUGGCAGCCACUUUUCUCUUUCUAUGUGUCAGUGAUACUGCACCGUGCAGUAUUUAUCUUUCUUUGUCGGGUUCAUUUCACUUAGCAUAAUGCCCUCCAGGGUCAUCCAUCUUAUUGCAAUGAGAGGAUUUCCUUUUUUUUUUCCUAAGGC